rnacentral:lncRNA from 1 species
CUGAAAGGGCAGGGGGCAGAGCCCAGGAUGGGAGGUCACACUGACUCUGUGACAUGGUUUCUUUGUCCUCAGGCCCCUCCCGGCGUCCUUCUCUGAUAUCUAGGUAACACUUCCUGGGGCUGGGCAGAUGGGCUAAUCUAAAAUACAAGCCACUGGAUUUUAAAGUAAAGGGCAGUUGGCAACCUGGGAUUUCUAGGUUGCCUGGAUUGAGCCUCAAAGCAGGCUAUAAUCUGCUGGUACCAGGGUCUAUCUUAGCUUUUGUCCAUCCUGUAGUGACUCCAAUAACCUGAAACUGAAUAAUGUGCGCCUGCCCCGGGAGAACAUGUCCCUCCCAUCCAACCUUCAGCUCAAUGACCUCACUCCGGAUAUCAGAGGGAAAGCAACAGAGCGGCCAAUGGCUCAGCAUAGCAGCCGUCCAGAGCUUCUAGAAGCGGAGCCUGGUGGCCUCCUCACCAGCCGAGGUUUCAUCCGUCUCCCAAUGUUGGGCUACAUCUACCGUGUGUCCAGCGUAAGCAGUGAUGAGAUUUGGCUCUGAGCUUGAGAGUGAGGCAGAUGGCCCAGGUGGUCUGUGGACUCCCCAGAGUGACCACCCCUUCUUGAAGCAUCUUCUUCAAGCUUCCCUCUGCCUGGCCCUGUUGUGACCAUGAAGAAACCAUGUCACUGCCGUCUGGCCUGCCUGGCAAGGAUACCUGUGGGUCAUGCAUGUGUAUGUCAUUGCACUCUAACCUGCAAGACAUGGGUACCCUUGGCAAGGCCACGGGUCAGAACUAAGCCCCUUGCACUCACUCAGUUUGGGGCCCUGCAUGUGAUAACCUGGUCCAGGCAGACGGAACUCUGGCCAGGUGUGUUUAGAUGUCACCCGACACCUAAAAGACGGGCCUAUUUAUUAUACGUCCCACGCCAGUAUCCACUGCACCUUGUGUGCAGAGAGAUGCCUAUGCAGGGGACCCCGCACAACUCAGAUGACAGCCUUCCUUUGCUAUGCAGCCUUGUUCCCUCAGGGAAAACAUAGCCCCUGCUAUUGUAUAGAACCAAAUUGCCCUUUGCUCAGGAACCAGCCCCUCACCCAGGGACCUGGCCAAGCACAAAUUCGUCCCUUUUGCUGCAACAUAUCUUUCUACUCUUCUAUCCCCACUUCCUCUUGGUCAUCAUAGGUCAUACCCUAGACCUUCUUCACUGAGUAUUAGACCUCCAUUGGCUGGGGCCCAUGGGUGCAGCCUUUGGUGUUAGCACAAGAUGAGCAAGAAGAGGUGACAGGAGGGCUGGCUCCCAAGACAGCAUGUAGCAAUGUAUCAUUUUGUACAGUGUCCUCAUAUUAAGCACAUUCUCCAGGAGCGAGGAGGGCCCAGGGCCUUCUUGGGUUCCCCAUCUUUGGCCUUCAGCAAUUCACUGUGAGUGUUCUGAGCACUCAGGGUUGGUGGUUUCCUCUCUGCAUGUCUCUUCCCACCAUGCAGCCACAUUCCUGACCAAACCUGGCUGCCACAUCCUAUUCUUCCAGGGAUGGUCACAGUGGGUAUAGAACCCAACAGCGCCAGAAGCUUUAGGGGAACAGAGGGAGCAGGAGCCCACACAGCUCUAAAGAGCUAAGAAUACUUUUAAAAAAGCAACAUGAAAAUGGCAAACAGGGGUUGGGGAUUUAGCUCAGUGGUAGAGCGCUUGCCUAGCAAGCGCAAGGCCCUGGGUUCAGUCCCCAGCUCUGGAAAAAAAAAAAAAAAAAAAGAAAGAAAAUGGCAAACAGCAGAGUAUGGAGUCUAUUUUCCUUUCUUCAUAUCUUGUUUGGUAAUUUUUCUUGUGUUACUGGUGAGUACUGUGCUGCACACACAGUAAAUUCCUUUGACC